CCUACGGGCGGACAGCAGUGGGGAAUAUUGCACAAUGGGCGAAAGCCUGAUGCAGCCACGCCGCGUGAGCGAUGAAGGCCUUCGGUUCGUAAAGCUCUGUCCUCAAGGAAGAUAAUGACGGUAAUUGAGGAGGAAGCCCCGGCUAACUACGUGCCAGCAGCCGCGGUAAUACGUAGGGGGCUAGCUUUAUCCGUAAUUAGUGGGCGUAAAGGGUGCGUAGGUGGUUUCUUAAGUCAGGGGUAAAAGGCUGCGGCUAAACAGUAGUAAGCGUUGAAACUGGGGAACUGGAGUGCAGGAGAGGAGAGUGGAAUUCCUAGUGUAGCGGUGAAAUGCGUAGAGAUUAGGAGGAACACCAGUUGUGAAGGCGGAUCUCUGGACUGUAACUGACACUGAGGCACGAAAGCGUGGGGAGCAAACAGGAUUAGAUACCCGAGUAGUC
rnacentral:rRNA from 1 species